AUCAUCGUGGAUUUUCGUCGGGGGUGAUCCCUACCAAGGUAUGUGAGCUUUUAGUGUUGGGUGAUCCUUUCCCCCACACACUUAGCCCCUUUUAUUUAUUGAGAAGGGAUCGGAUUCGUUGUUGAAGUUGUUGGAAUUGUUGUUAGGGUUGUUAGUUGUUGAAGUUGAUAGUUGUAAUCUAUGGGUUGUUGAGGGAUUUUUUGUGCUUCCAAGUGUAUGGGUUGAAACUUUGUGUUGGGAGGGUUUAGAGUUGGAGAAAAGGGAGGAUCCCAAAAAUAGUCAGUUUCUCAGAAGAAAUCGACGGACUGAAGGUACAGUCCUUAGAUCGAUCUACGGACCGUCGAUCCCCUCCGUAGUUCCACACUUAGAAUUUUCAAAAAUUCAGGUAGUAGAACCCUCACAGUAUCAUUCUACGGAUCAACAGUACGGUCCGUAGAUCAAUCUACGGACCGUCGAUGGAAACCGUGGUUCCACACUUGGCCUUUUUCCUUGAAUUAUCCUCAAUACCUUGCCUGCUGAUCUACGGUCAUCACCNNNNNNNNNNNNNNNNNNNNNNNNNNNNNNNNNNNNNNNNNNNNNNNNNNNNNNNNNNNNNNNNNNNNNNNNNNNNNNNNNNNNNNNNNNNNNNNNNNNNGUGAACAUAAUUUACACUUGACAAUAUUGCAUCAACCUUAAUGCCUCCUUUGAUGUGCAGCACCGCCACACACCUCAAAUUUGGCCGACCAGCAAACGCCGCCAUCUUCGCACCUCGGUUCUCCUCUCCUCUUCGCUUGUUCUCAAUUUUGCACUUUGGUGAAGUCUACAGCUGCUUCCUAUCUCAGGUGAGCGUCCUUUACACAAAUUUUACAGGUCUUUUCGUUGCUUUGAUUCUGAUUCCCUAACUCGGCCUCUGCUAUUUGAUUUCGCAAUCCUUUUGUAAUUCACUUGUCUACGACAAUUUCUUUGGGUCUCUUCGACUUUUCGUUUGGGCCAUCGUUUCAACUUGACUUCUUCUUGACUUUGGGCUUCUCUAUAUUUUUAAGCUUUCUUGACUUCAUACAUUUUUGUAUUUCUGCGCUAUAUCCUCCUAUAUCGACAAUCAUCAUGUGUAAGAUUCUAACUUGGACAUUUACUGUGCCUUCAAUUUUUCCUACGAUUUUCUCACUUUGAUAUAGGGUUCAACUCUUAAUAUUUGAUCUGGUUUAGCAACUUUAAAAAUGCAUAUGUUUUUAUUGAAAGAAUUCCAUUAUUGACAUCACAAGAUGAGAAAAUUCCUGUACAAUUUAAAAGAACACAAUUUUCUCUUUACAAAGUUCAAGGUCAAACAUUAGAUUUUGUUGGAAUUUAUAUAAUGUACUGUAUAAUUAAAUUAUUGGCAUAAUACAUAAAUUGGACCCUUAACUUGACUUCAAAUUAUAACUUUGACCUCCAACUUUCAUAAUGCACAAAUAGGAACUGUAACAUCCGACAAUUUGAAGUGGCUUUGAAGAAGCUUGAAAUUUGGAAAUAGUCAUUUUUGGAAGAAUUUAAAAAUCUGGAAAUUUGGCUAAGUGUAGAAAACCAUGAGUUUUUGGCCAACUUCGAGUAGUCGUAACUCCUAGCUCAGGAUGAGUUAGGAGUAGUUCCAGUUAUGGCUGCGAAGCCCUUGGAACGACCUUUUCAACGCCACCGAGUUUGCUCAAUUCCGAGUUUGUAUGAGGGAGUUAUGCCCUGUAGAAGUUGGGCAGUUGGAAAGGAUUUUCGUCCGGAAAUUUAAGGGGCAUUUUGGUCCUUUCACAAUUCUUUUAAUUGAGCUCAUAUUGUUGAGUUAGGAUGAUCUUUGGAUCAUUUUUGUCCCUUUUUGAAAGAGAAAGAGUUAGGGUUCUUGAGAUUAAAGAAGAGAAGAAGAGAAGAAGGAGAAGAAGAAGAAGAGAAGAAAAAGGAGCUUAUUCAAGAUCGUGUGGACUUUCGUCGGGGGUGAUCCCUAUCAAGGUAUGUGAGUUUUUUGUGUGGGUUGAUCCUUUCCCCCACACACACUUAGUUUACUAUAUGAUUGAGAAAAGAUUGGAAUUGUUGUUGAAGUUGUUAAAGUUGGUGAAGUUGUUAGUUGUUGUUGAUGUUGUGGAUUGUGUAGUUGAAACCUAUUGUAUGUUGAGGGAAUUAUGAUUCUAAGAGUUAUGACCAUUGGAGGUUGAUUCACAUCAUUUUCGCAGCAAAUCUCUGGGCUGUCGAUCCCCAUCUACGGGCGUGACCUACGGACCGUAGAUCAAUCGGCGGUCCGUACUGGUCAACCGUCGAUCAAGACAGAAGUUGGUUUUUGGGGCGUCGAUCUACGGGCACGACCUACGGUCCGUAGAUCGGUCCACGGACCAUAAGUCGGGACCGUAGUUCAACACUUAGUCAUUUUUUUCACUGAAUUCUGGGAAAGUUUCUGACGCGACCCACGGACCUGCAGUACGGACCGUAAGUCCAUCUACGGUCCGUCGAUGGCUUCCGUAGAUGCCGCCUGUGUCACCAAAAAUCUGAAGUCUCAGCCAAGUUUCCCCAUUCCUUUUCUCACUUUCUCAAGCAAGUUUCAAAGUAUUAUACCUAUGUUUUACGGUUGUUUCCGACACUCCAUAGUACGUCUAAGAGUUCAAGGAUCCCUCCAUAACAGGUGAUCGAACACCUUGAAUUCAUAAUUCCGAUUCAAGGAAAGAUAGUUCCAAGUCAAGUGAAGUUAGCAGUCAAGUUAAGUCAUGAGUUUAAAGUUGAGUUCGUUUCUCAAAGUUAUUAGGGAACUAUGUAUUCCCAAAGAAGUUUCAAAGAAAUGUUUUUACAUUUGAAUAAGGUUGGAAACUGAGAUUUCCAAAGGGGCCUUCGGGCUAGUUUUUGAGUAAUUAUCUCAUAUCAGCAGGAAUAAAUAUGUUUUAAAAACAUAAGAGCCAGUACAUUUUUGGGAGUAGUAUCGAGCACCGAAUUGGGGGAGCGUUCCAAAGAACCCACAGCCCCCAUAGAACCAUGUUAGCCACCAUGGGUAGAAAAGGAUCAAUGCUUUUAGAUGAAUCCUUUUCAGAUUAGACUAGUGGAUCCAUUAGGCAGUUCAGGUCUUAUACCUCUUGCCGGGUAUAGGAUGCUCUGGCAGCGUGAGGUCGAUCGCUGUAUCAUCACUAUAGCUCUUAUGUGAUGGUUGUCGGUUAGAGAAACUCCCACAGCAGUUAUUGUAUUUUCAUACUCAGAGAUUAUUGUAUUUUUAUAUACAUCAGUUCAUUGUAUUUCUAUAUACAUUUCAGGCUUAUUGUAUCUUUGUAUACACACAGAGUUUAUAGCAUGUUAUAAACAGUCUUUCUUUAUAUCGCUCUUGUUUUUAAAUUGCCUUAUAUUGAAAGAAGUCAGUCAGGUUGAGUUGAGUUGAGCCAGGUAAGCUAUUCAGUUUCUCCAGAUCUCUUGCUAGCCUUGUUGCUUAGUUCCAGCUCGCAUACUCGUACAUUCCAUGUACUGAUGCCAGUUGGCCUGCAUCUUAUUAUGAUGCAGAUACAGGUACCCCGGAUCAGCAUCCUGCACGUCGUUGAUCCAGCUGAGCACUCCAGAGUCUAUGGUGAGCCUCCUUGCAUUCCGGAGGACUCAAUUAUUUUGUGUACUUAGUUUUGUUCUAUUAGGAUGUUGCGGGGUCUGUCCCCACAUCCAUCUCAGUACAUUAGAGGCUUCAUAGACAGUCAGACAGUCAGUCAGUCAGUAGUUUUGAGUCUCUCAUCCAUGUAUAUGUAUGUAUAUGUAAAUAUUCUAUUUUUGAGACUCGAGUUGCCCUUUUGGGC
rnacentral:lncRNA from 1 species